CACACGACUCUCGGCAACGGAUAUCUCGGCUCUCGCAUCGAUGAAGAACGUAGCGAAAUGCGAUACCUGGUGUGAAUUGCAGAAUCCCGCGAACCAUCGAGUCUUUGAACGCAAGUUGCGCCCGAGGCCACCCGGCCGAGGGCACGCCUGCUUGGGCGUCACGC
rnacentral:rRNA from 1 species